AUUGCAAGUGAACUGACAAAAUAUAGAUUCUGUACUUGUGAACUAUUUCGCACUAAUGCAAUUUAGGGAGACGACAUGCACUGCACACUGCCCGGAAUAUGGACUACCUAACCAAGCAUAUAACUUUUUCGCAAAACGCACAAACCUAGUUUAAGGGCCUCACAGGGAUUGAUAUCAAAAGAUAAAUUACAACACACAAUUAAUAUAUAGCCUAUAUGGUUCCUUAUUCUAGAAGUGAGAGGGUAAAAAAAAAAUCAUUUUUUAAAAUUCAUUGUAAUAAGAUUGGCCAAGAAAUUAUGACAAGUCAUCAAAACAACUUUUACAACACUGAUCUACUGCUUUUACAUGAAUUAAUAUCAAGUCCAUAUGUUUUCUACAUGUGACAUGUGGGCUUAAAUCUCUUUGACAGGCCAACGUGUCAGACCUACAUCUUAAAAUGGCCAAUUAAAAAAACGUCUUCAUGCAAAGAUACAAUAACUUUUAUGACAUCUCUUAACAGUCUACUUGAGAAUACUUUGUAUGUCUAAGACAAAAGUUGAAUUCAACUGAGGAGGAGAAAAGUCCAUCUUCUAAUAUGCUUAAAGUGUGUUAGUCAUAAAAGUAGCAGUGAAGUCAGUUACCAAAUUAGUCUCAGGCAUAUUUUCACCAGCCAAAUGCCAUAGUCUACAUACCCCACUAGUGAAUUUAGCAUCUAUUCCCUAAAUGCUUUACGUAAUUAAUAUUAGCAAUGCUGAUGGUGACAUCUACAUGCUCAAAUGACACCUAGGUAAGACAUAUGCUGAAGCAUGUGUUUUAUUCCAAUAUGAAUGCAAUACUAUCUAAUUAUUAUAUAUCUAAGUAUAAUGAUCAUUGCCAUAGUACUCUCUACUAUCUCACCAUCUGACUAACAUCAAUACAUUUCUUUACAGUGCUGUUUUUUUUUUACAGUUUAAGUAGGCGGUGUUCUUCUCUCUCCUUUGCAACAGACGUUGUUUAUAGAAGCCUGCCAUUUGAAGCUACAGUUGUGACAAAGCUGCGGCUGUCAGCUGUCAACUCUGUUGAACCAUUUUACACAUCAGUGUACUUAUUUUAACACUUAAUUUGUUUGUUAUCAUCAGUAUAAGGACAAAAGACAGUAAACCUUGUGAAGAUUAGCAUUUGUGAAACAUUAUCUUCUAACUGGAAUGAUAUCCUCGAAGAUAUCUUCAGUUAUUUUCUAACUGAAAUGAUAGAUCUCACGCGUGAACUGAGUUUCAAGUUGAAAAAACAGAAUCAAAUAGAUUACACCCUCAAACUAAGUGAGACGUCGUCAUUAACUUUCCUAUUGCUCUGUUUCAGGUCAUUUUUUAAGAUAUAUGUAGGCCACAGCUGAUUUGCAUCCUACCACCAUAAAGAUGAAAUGACUCACUCCAAAAACUAAACCAAAAACAUUGCAUGACACAACUCCUCCUCAAUACCAACCAGGAAAACAGCCAGUAUGAGUGUGAGAGUGUAGAGUGCCUAAGUAGGAAGGCUUGGGAGGCUGGUAACACGGGCCUGGAUUGAAUAAGCACCAUGGCUAUGCUGGACAUCUGGGAUAUCCACCAAGAGUGCUGAUUUAAGUUGGGAUAUAAACAGUGCUCGCUGCCUGCCAAGCCUUUCUCAGUGGCAUUUUAUAUUGUUCCAGGUCCAGUCAGACUCAUCUCGCGACUUGCAAUAGUCUUUGUAAUCACUUUAACUAGACCAUAUCAGUCUCUAACCCAGGCUGCAGCUGUAACUAGGCCUGGGCCUACACUACAUGUGGGAGCAGAUGCCAGGGAAUGCUUGUUCAAGGUAUGUCAGGUCAUUGGAUUCGUUCGUCGAGUUUCCAACUGAAACACAGCAAUUCAAAAGCCAUAACAUAUGUAAUAUAUUGUCAUUACGUAGUAAUUGUGAAUACAGCAAACUCCUCUAAUUCAACUGGCCUAGGUUGUGUUUACCUUGUCUGCUACAGUAAAGCUGAAGAGCUAAUGAACUAGACUAGGGACCCUUCUGAGAAAGACUGAAGCUCUGAACUCAUUCAACCCCCUUUAAAAUGCCCGCGCUAAUCCCAAUAACAGUCAGUCAUUAUAAAUAUACAAUUCAUAAAUUGCUUUCUGUGAAAUAUGCAACCCUCUAGCCUCAUCCACUUAAACUCAAAGUCUAAUGUGUUGGCCUAUUGACAGGCUGGUUGGUUCUUCUUUUGCCUCUGUUGUUCCGAAUGAUCCAGCCACGGUUCUGAUGGUACCCAACUAAUCCAAGCUGUGAACCCACUCCUCAACCAGUAAACGCAACGGUUCAAUCUCAAAAAAGUUGGAACAGACAUAAGAGAAAGAGAAAGAGAGAGAGACAGACACAGAGACAGAGAGAGAGAGAGAAGGAAAGAGAGAGAGAGAGAGAGAGAGAGAGGGAGGGAGGGAGAACGAGAAAAAGGCAGCAAGAAAAGUGAGGGACUUUUAGGGGCAGCUGUGUUUAAUUAACCCAGUCAUAAUGCCCCUAAAAAUCCUUAUUGCUCUUGCAAUGGUCAACAGAAUCUUCUAUAAGAACAAGUCUCUGUGUUAUGGGCGACGCACUCUUACGGACAUAUUACAAGCUCUAUGAAAUCCAUUGGUCACAUUGUCAAGUCCCUGAAAGAUGUUCAGACAGUCUUGAAGCAAGUUGGAGGGCAUUGAAAAUGGAAUAGAAAAUGCUUAUUUGUUACUCCCAACUGACGCAUUUCAACAAAUUACGGAUGUUGUCAGGGUGCUUUCCUAACUUGUCAAUGAAUUAGUCAAACAAAUCUAGUUAGAUGCAACUCUGGCCUCAGGCGUUCUUAUCCGGAGUUCACGGAUCGUUGAAGGUCCUGCAUCACGACACAACAACAGUUCCAACCUAGACAGAUAUGUAACAACAGUUCCAACCUAGUCAGAUAUGUAACAACAGUUCCAACCUAGACAGAUAUGUAACAACAGUUCCAACCUAGUCAGAUAUGUAACAACAGUUCCAAACUAGACAGUUAUGUAACAACAGUUCCAACCUAGUCAGAUAUGUAACAACAGUUCCAAACUAGACAGUUAUGUAACAACAGUUCCAACCUAGUCAGAUAUGUAACAACAGUUCCAAACUAGACAGUUAUGUAACAACAGUUCCAACCUAGACAGAUAUGUAACAACAGUUCCAACCUAGACAGAUAUGGAACAACAGUUCCAACCUAGACAGAUAUGUAACAACAGUUCCAACCUAGUCAGAUAUGUAACAACAGUUCCAAUCUAGACAGAUAUGUAACAACAGUUCCAACCUAGUCAGAUAUGUAACAACAGUUCCAACCUAGACAGAUAUGUAACAACAGUUCCAACCUAGUCAGAUAUGUAACAACAGUUCCAACCUAGACAGAUAUGAAACAACAGUUCCAACCUAGACAGAUAUGUAACAACAGUUCCAACCUAGACAGAUAUGUAACCGUGUUUUUAAUGAGGAAUACAUAUAUAUUUUAUUUCAUUGUUAUUUGUUUUUAUUGCAUUUGUUUUUAGGCACAUGGGCAAUGAAAUGUACCAAUAUUUACAUAGAGUUGCAUAUUUUCCAAAACUUGGGUCGCAGGAAAACAUAGAAUUUCUCAUUUUGGUCCCAGGCUGAAAAAGUUUAAGAACCCCUUCUUUAGAUGAGUGGGAUGAUUAAAGACGAGAGCACACUUUGCCCAGACAGAACUAUAGAUAUCUUCAUCCUCACUAAUGAUAGCUAUGCACCGGAUGUGCUACCUUGUCCCAGACCUGCUGUUUUCAACUCUCUAGAGACAGCAGGUGCAGUAGAGAUACUCUGAAUGAUCGGCUAUGAAAAGCCAACUGGCAUUUACUCCUGAGGUGCUGACCUGUUGCACCCUCUACAACCACUGUGAUUAUUAUUAUCUGACCCUACUGGUCAUCUAUGAACGUUUGAACAUCUUGGCCAUGUUCUGUUAUAAUCUCCACCCGGCACAGUCAGAAGAGGACUGGCCACCCUUCAUAGCCUGGUUACUCUCUAGGUUUCUUCCUAGGUUUCGGCCUUCCUAGGUUUCGGUUAUUCGUAGCCACCGUGCUUCUACACCUGCAUUGCUUGUGGUUUGGGGUUUUAGGCUGGUUUGGGGUUUUAGCACUUUGUGACAUCAGCUGAUGUAAGAAGAGCUUUAUAAAUAAAUGUGAUUGAAUUUGAUUGAUAAUGAUAGCUAUGUACCUUGCAGGUUGGCCUUAGGAUGUCAUUAUCUCCCCAGUAUCCAUUGUUUAACAUGCAGACAAGUGAGCUAUAUGUCCUUCAGUUUCUUGACUUUGUGCCAAAGGCCAGACAGACAGACGGGCGAAGGAUUCUGAUCUGAUCCGGGUUGGGGUGGGGUGUGGUGGGGUUGGAGAACUGUCUGAGAGGGGGAGGCUGGCUGGAGGAGGAGACGGAGAGGAGUGCUCCUCCGUGGGGGUGAGUCAUCGCCUUCGGAGGCUAUUCAGUGAGUUCACUGGGAGGAUCGUGAUCCUUCGGUUGGUCGGUAUAUCCGCCGUCCUCCUCGCCACAGCCAGAGAGGGGCUGUGAAGGAAAGUGUGGGGGCCUGGCUGGGCUGAUGACUCAGGGCCACGCACCGCACAAGGAGUGAGGGAGGAGGGGGAGGGAGGGAGGAAUUACUCCGAGCAUGUGGAAUCUCAUACAGCUAUCACAGGACAGACACUGUGCUUCUACUAGGCUCUGAGGCUCUGUAGAAGUCUGUCCUUAGACACAGUGGUAAUGGCAGUGGUAAGACUGCUAAGGGCCGUUGGUUUCCAUUGAAGAGGAACAGAACAGAGCAGUAUAUUCCUGUCCUCGCACUUUGAAACAAAGUCAUGCCCCCCUUCUUAUUGAAUGAAUUACGUAUUUCUAUUACAGCAAGUCGGUGCAGGUUUGAAGCUCUGCAACUCCAGCAAAGAAAUUAAGCAUUGCAUGCAGUCAAAAUAUUCCAUUACAAAAGUCUUGAUGAUUUGGGAAGUGUCUCCGGUGACUGUCUAGAUGGGAGGGGAGGUGAGUUGGGCCGUUUAAUGUCCAGUUCUUCCUGUUUCUUUCUUGAGUGAUGAUGCUCCUCCUCCAGCUCUGUCAUUGGAGAAAUCCUUUCAAAUAACAAAGCUUCAUUGAGUGAUGAUGACAAACAUUUCCAGAAAGAGAAUGUGAGGGGUGAGAGAACUACCUGUAUGACAUGCAAUACGGACUCUCUAUGCGCCCCCUCUAGUGUGAGUCAUCAGGCCUAAAGACGCCGAGCGAGCUGUGAGUGGUGAAUCAGGUGUUGAUAAUGGCCAACAGUGGAGGGCUGGUCAGCCGACAGGUGGGGGCUGGUGUGUGUUGGGUGUGUGUAUUGUGUGCAGUGCGUGCAUGUAUUGUUGUGUGCAUGUAUUGUGUGAUGUGAGUGUGGAGGGAGAUUAUGGUGUGUGUGUGUCUCCAUGAAGGGGAGUUGAUGUUGUGUGAUGCAUGACUCAACACGAGAGGAAGGCCACACCCAUGGGACGAGCCCAGGCUCCCUUCAGCGGCGGCAUGGGCCUAGAUCUCACUGACUAUGGGUGCCACGAUUAAAGUGUAUUGUCCUAACUGAUGAAGCUCAAACACUUGAAGAGCCACUCAAAUCCUGCACAAACACUCCGACACAAAGGCAGAGAGGCCGGGCGAGAAAGUGGAGCACACCUUCACCCUCCGCUGUAUGCCCCUUUAUAAACAAACUCUUCCCACCUGAUUUCAGCCAACCAGCUACUGAGAGUCUGGGCCCGUAUUCACAAAGCGUCUUAGAGUAGCAGUGCUGAUCUAGGAUCAGGUCUCCCCUGUCCAUAUAUAACAGUAUAACUUUAGACCGUCCCCUCGCCCAUACCCGGGCGCGAACCAGGGACCCUCUGCACACAUCAACGACUGACACCCACGAAGCAUCGUUACCCAUCGCUCCACAAAAGCCGCGGCCCUUGCAGAGCAAGGGGAACCACUACUUCAAGGUCUCAGAGCAAGUGACGUCACCGAUUGAAACGCUAUUUAGCGCGUACCACCGCUAACUAAGCUAGCCGUUUCACAUCCGUUACACAUACAAUCAUAUUCAUUAUGGUCUAAAAUGCAAAAAACUGAACCUAGAUCGCACUCCUACUCUGAGACACUUUAUGAUAGGGACAACCCAGAGUAAAUAGAACGACAUAGCCAUGGCUUAACCAUGUGUUGCAUCUCCAUAAUGGUAAUUUCCUCCAGUAAUUACUCAUCAUUAAAGGUCUCACUCCCAAUCACCUGGUUAGUGUUUAUAAUACGGCCUGCCUUGGUAAAUCCCCAUCAUUCUGAAAUAGCCUGAUUGUGUUUAAUUGGAGCGUUCACUAAACAGAGUCCAUCCACCAGCAUCAACAAAUCCAAUAUAUUUUAACAGCAGGGAACAAUUUAAUCCGCCUCCAUAUAUCACCAUUGUAAACAACCAAGACGCAGAGCCCAAUGUUGCACAAUGAGCCUGCGUUGAGGAGGAGUUGAAAGGUCAGGUAAACACUUGUCCCAGGCUUUCCCUGCCUUUUUAAUCAGGACUCCUGUCCAUUUUUUGAUCUUGAUUAGAUCUCUUGACUUAUGGCUGUGUACACUAAUGCUGCACUUCUGGCGGCUCCUUAACUCACUGUUUGGUUUGUUUCAUGUGGACGGGAAUGUCAAGUUGCUUGUUGGCCUGGAGGCUUGUGCGCUGAGUCGCCGACAAACCAUGGAAUGAAUCCUUUGCAGACUAAUGGGCGGGCCAACCUUUUCCAGUGUUUGUCAUGGUCCUCAAAGCCCAACGUGGUCCAGUUUCAGAGAAACUGCCUCAUUCAGCACAAAUAUUAUGGAAGACCAUUUAGAUACUUCUCCACCCUCCUUGUCCUCGCCAACCAGCCAUGGGGGAGGUGCUGACAGAUUUGUCGUUUUUUUCUGGCAAUUUGGGGUCAACGAUGCAUGUUAGCAAACCCCGCCAGCUCUCUUAGUUUGCAUUGCAAAACCAGGAGGCCCCCGACGUGCAUUGUGCAAUGUACACAGCACUGUUGGGUGACUGGCAUGUGUCUGAUGAUGCUUGAUGCUUUAGAUAUGGUUGUGGCCGUUGAAUGAGGCAUUCACAGUAAAUUAAAUGUUGUCAGGGGUCUGUAUUGGCAAGAAUGCACAAAAUCCUUGUCACUCAGUAACUAAUAGCUUUUACGCUAAAACGGACUUCGCAGAAUAAGGCAAAGAUGCUCAACAGUUCAAAUCUCUGCACAGCACGUUGGAAAAGACUAAGGGGAGACAACCUUGCUACCUCAAAUGGCCUCCUGCAGUCUUCAAGGACUGGUGAGUGAGUGUGAGGACGUUGGUAAAAUGAAAAAAUGCAGAGUCAGGCGCAGGACACAGUUCUGAGUAAUCAUCCAAAAUUUACUCCAAAAUAAGUAAGAUUCCAACAAGGAACAAAUACAAUAAUCCCAAGCACGAACAACGAGAACCCACAUGACAAACAAUAACGCACAAAACAGAGAUGGAAAUCAGAGGGUUAAAUAAGGAACAUCAUUAACGGAAUGGAAACCAGGUGUGUAUGAUCAAGACAAAACAAAACGAAAAUGAAACAUAGAUUGGUGGUGUCUAGGAAGCCAGUGACGUCGACCGCCGAACCCUGCCCGAAGAAGGAGAGGGACCAACUUCGGCCCGAAGUCGUGACAGUGGGGCUGGUGAACUUAAUGAGAUUUUCAUGGUUUCUGAAGUAUCUUUGGGAUUUCUCAGUCGGUCUCAACAGCACAGCAUGAAGCUACAGCUUGAAGACCCACGGUCUAGUCCUCCUUGUCCAGACUGGCUCAGUUGAUAGGACGGCAUGACCGGAAAUCCAUCUUCCUCAAAACCCCUCUUACAUUACAUUUGAAAGGUCUUCCGCCCCUCUCAAAACUGUCAUUGGAGCUCCUUCAAAAUCACAGAGAAAACAUGAUUGUUCCUCUUUGGUCUUUAUGUUGGCAAACCCCCUUUAGUCUUGAAGGAGAAGCAAAAAUCCAUUUAUAGUCCGUUUCAGGGGGAAAAUGUGUGUGUAGCGCAACUGUUCUCCAGGGCCGAACAAAGAGCUGUUUUAUGUUGGCACCAGAUUGAGGUCUGUGGAUCACAAUGUGACAAGGCAGACCUCAGAAGACGCUUGCCCAGCAGCUAGUGAUGUGCCUUCUUAUUCUUGGAGCCACGCUCUCAUUCCAGGACAUGGAAACCCUUGGCCUGGCCAUCCAUACAACUCCAAAACCAACAGUGCUGCCCAUGUGUAAGCAAAGAGGGCAAGUGUUUUUUUCAUGACACCUAAAUGUCUUUUUCUUUUGUGGACAGCAUCUUUCGCUGCCCCUUUUGCUUUUUGUUAUUCCACAAGUCUUUGUCUUGGCCAGUUCCUGUGCACAUAGCUCUGCGGGAUCUGAGGCGUCACACACUGUGGCAAUGUUUUUUGGUCAUGUGACAUCUAGAGUUGACACUGGCAUCGAUCCUCCGACCGUUUCGCACUCCAACACUGCCAGCAGGAUCUUUUGACUUCCUUGACUUCCCUUUUAGUUUGUAGUGGAGUAAAGGGGCUUUACAGCACUUCUACAUUGAAACCCUGUUUUGGAACACUUUCUUUAGAUCAGUGGUCAUCAACAGGUCGAUCUCCAAGGCAUUCCUAGUCGAUCGCCAAAUAUUUCUGUAAAAAACCCAACAAUAAGCCGUGCGUUCCUAUUUUUUAUUUUACGCUGUUGUUGGUAGGUGCACCUGAUUCAGCUGCCCUGCGCUCCAGGUAUGCGAUGUGUUCCCAUUUUCAACCAUUUCAUAUGUUUGAAGGUACAAACUCUGCCUUCCCGGGGGGAGCAAAUCAAGUACACUAUAGGCCUACCAAUCGGAGGACUGUCUGCAGUAACAUAGCAGGCAUAAAAGAAAGCUACAGCAAAGGCGGUACAGAGGGUAGUGUGUACGGCACAGUACAUCACUGGGGCCAAGCUUCCUGCCAGCCAGGACCUCUAUACCAGGAGGUGUCAGAGGAAGGCCACAAAAAUUUGUCAUAGACUGUUCUCUCUGCUACCGCACGGCAAGCGGUACCGAAGCACCAAGUCUAGUACCAAAAGGCUCCUUAACAGCUUCUACCCCAAAGCCAUAAGACUGCUGAACAAUUAAUCAAAUGGCCACCCGGACUAUAUACAUUGAUCACCCCCCUUGUUUUUACACUGCUGCUACUUGCUGUUUAUUAUCUAUGCAUAGUCACUUUACAAAUUACCACGGCUAACCUGUACCCACGCACAUUGACUCGGUACUGGUGUCCCCUGUAUAUAGCCUCAUUGUUAUGCAAUUUUCUUGUUACUUUUUGAUUUUAUUACUUAUUACUUUUGUUAAUUUAGUAAAUAUUUUCUUAACUCUAUUUCUUGAACUGCAUUGUUGGUUAAGGGCUUGUAAGCAUUUCACUGUAAGGUCUACACCUGUUGUAUUCGGCGCAUGUGACAAAAACCAUUUGAUUUGAAGACUGUGUCCCUUUUUGAACAGUGUCAGAGGAGGACCCUAAGUCUGCUGCUCUCUCCCUCCGCUGAGAUUGACCAUCAGAUGCAGGCUCCACCAGCCUAGUAAAAUUAAAAUGAUUGAAGUGUAUGCUCAUUCAGCUGUCCCUCACAAUAAUACAACAAAUGACCUAUUACUGGUGUGAUCAUAUAGCCUACCUUAAAUGUUGAAAUAAAUUGUAAAAAAGGGUCUGAGAAGCAAAGCCAAUAUGCAGUGAUAAUGUAUUGGGCCUAUAGCCUACUGCACAAACCUCAUUACUACAGUACCGUUUUUAAUAGGUUAAUGUUGCCUAGCCCUACGUUUUUUAAAUCAUGUAAAAAAAAUAAAAACGGUUGAACGGUAGAUCUCGGCUUGCAUCAGAAAUGGAUCCGACUCAGAAAAGGUAUGUGACCGCCUGCUCUGGAUCAUUCCAGGUGGUCCCUGCCUUCUUCGUCUUGUAUUAUUCCUCUUCAUUGUCUUCACCUUCUUCUCAAUAAAUAGGUUUUUAUUCAGUAGCCAACUGUUGCAUCAAUGCAUGCCACCAUCUCUAGAAUAUGGCUGUAGAUAUCUUCUGAAGUAGGGGGAUAUUUAUGAUGUAACACACCACACAACUGCAGUCUUUUGAAGCUUUAGCAGCCUCCGCCACGGCCAUUUUAGAUAUAUAAAUUUAAUAAAGAAGUUGUAUUGGAGUAAACACUCGUCUCCGUUCCCAGAGCGAGAGAGAAGAAAAAUAUAUCUGGUGCAGUAAAUUGAACUCAACUUUGCCUCGUUCAUGAACUCGCCUAAAAAUAACCUGUUCCAACAAGUGAAACACUUUCCAGCUAAGCUAACACCAAGGCCCUUUAAAAUAACAUAAGAUAAUUGGUUUUCAAUUAUAAGAUACCAAUUUAAACCAGGUUAGCGUCUGUCAAAGGCUGAGAAAUGCUUGAAAAGUGUCGGACAUCACCAUAUAAAGGUAUUUUCUCUAAAUACUCUGAUACAGGGCUUUCAGAAAGUAUUCACACACCUGGACUUAUUCCACAUUUUGUUGUGUUACAGCCUGAAUUUAAAAUGGAUUAAAUUCAGAUGUUGUGUCACUAGCUUACACACAAUACCCCAAACAAACAGGCCUGGAUGAGAUCUUUAAGGUCAGGGCCCUCCGCAAGGCUCACAAAAUCAUUUUAGACCCAAGCCACCCCCUGUACCCGGACUUUGAACUACUCCCCUCUGGGCGCAGGUAUAGUGCACCCCUCAGCAGGAAAAACAGAACUAGACAAUAAUUUGUGCCAGGUGUGAUAUCCCUCAUAAAUAGCUCCAGCUAAUGUUCCUAUCGACUCAGUAAGGCCAGCAGGCUAGUCUUUUGAAAAAAAAAAAUGUUUUAAUGUUUUUUGGUAUGUAACUGUUAUGAAAGUUGUAUUGUCAAUUUUGUUUUGUAUUUAAACACCACUUUAAAUGUGAACAUGACACCGCAACAACAUUUCCCCAUGGGGACAAUAAAGUCAGUAAGUAAGUCA